rnacentral:rRNA from 1 species
CGCGUAGGCGGCCGCCUAAGUCAGACGUGAAAUCCCUCGGCUCAACCGGGGAACUGCGUCUGAUACUGGGUGGCUUGAAUUCGGGAGAGGGAUGCGGAAUUCCAGGUGUAGCGGUGAAAUGCGUAGAUAUCUGGAGGAACACCGGUGGCGAAGGCGGCAUCCUGGACCGAGAUUUACGCUGAGGCGCGAAAGCCAGGGAGCAAACG